AUUGAACGCUGGCGGCAGGCCUAACACAUGCAAGUCGAACGAGUGGCGGACGGGUGAGUAAUGUCUGGGAAAAUGCCUGAUGGAGGGGGAUAACUACUGGAAACGGUAGCUAAUACCGCAUACCAUCAGAUGUGCCCAUAUGGGAUUAGCUAGUGGGGGGGGUAACGGCUCACCAGGGCGACGCUCCCUAGCUGGUCUGCGAGGAUGACCAGCCACACUGGAACUGAGCCACGGUCCAGACUCCUACGGUGGGCAGCAGUGGGGAAUAUUGCACAAUGGGCGAAAGCCUGAUGCAGCCAUGCCGCGUGUAUGAAGAAGGCCUUCGGGUUGUAAAGUACUUUCAGCGGGGAGGCGUUACCCGCAGAAGAAGCACCGGCUAACUCCGUGCCAGCCGCCGCGGUAAUUC
rnacentral:rRNA from 1 species